GAUGAAGAACGUAGCGAAAUGCGAUAAGUAGUGUGAAUUGCAGAAUUCAGUGAAUCAUCGAAUCUUUGAACGCACAUUGCGCCCCUUGGUAUCCCGAGGGGCAUGCCUGUUCGAGCGUCAUUUCACCACUCAAGCCUGGCUUGGUGUUGGGCGACGUCCCCUUUGGGGACGCGCCUCGAAACGCUCGGCGGCGUGGCACCGGCUUUAAGCGUAGCAGAAUCUUUCGCUUUGGAAGUCGGGGCCCCGUCUGCCGGAAGACCUACUCGCAAGGUUGACCUCGGAUCAGGCAGGGAUACCCGCUGAACUUAAGCAUAUCAAUACGCGGAGGA
rnacentral:misc_RNA from 1 species